rnacentral:rRNA from 1 species
GACGAACGCUGGCGGCGUGCUUAACACAUGCAAGUCGAACGGAAAGGCCCUGCUUUUGUGGGGUGCUCGAGUGGCGAACGGGUGAGUAACACGUGAGUAACCUGCCCUUGACUUUGGGAUAACUUCAGGAAACUGGGGCUAAUACCGGAUAGGAGCUCCUGCUGCAUGGUGGGGGUUGGAAAGUUUCGGCGGUUGGGGAUGGACUCGCGGCUUAUCAGCUUGUUGGUGGGGUAGUGGCUUACCAAGGCUUUGACGGGUAGCCGGCCUGAGAGGGUGACCGGGCACAUUGGGACUGAGAUACGGCCCAGACUCCUACGGGAGGCAGCAGUGGGGAAUAUUGCACAAUGGGCGGAAGUCUGAUGCAGCAACGCCGCGUGCGGGAUGACGGCCUUCGGGUUGUAAACCGCUUUCGCCUGUGACGAAGCGUGAGUGACGGUAAUGGGUAAAGAAGCACCGGCUAACUACGUG